GACAGACAAAGCUAUAUGUUUGUUAAAAGGGUAAUUAUUAAGCUCUCCUGUGCUAGCCAGACAUACAGAGACACAACUAUAUUGACCCAGAUGACCAACUGUUUGCCAGAAUAACUGACUUUAUCCAGCUGUGUAUUCCCAAAUAUUGGAAGGUAUUAAGAGAUUACUGACCAUUGUCUACUCAAAAUGAAAUGUAAACAUAUUGUCUGUUGAAAAGCCGGCAGGUCAAAGUUUAUUUGGGGAGAUUUUGAAUAAAAUAUAUGUAAGACAAUAGUGCCCCCUGCUGGAAAAUGUUACAUAUCAUUAAGAAAAAAAAUGGACAAUGUAUAUAUUGAUUUAUGGAGAUUCACUGAGUAAUAUUUUACCCAGUGACUGCCCCAUCAUUUCCGAUUGGGUAGUAGCUAAUCCUUUAGGGACUGGAUGAUAGAUAAGAACAGGAUAUAAUGGGAAACACGGGAAUAAGAAAAAAGAGAAAAAGGAAAAAAGUAGAUGGAGGAAAAGAACUAGAGAAAGGAACUAAGAACAGGAGAGGAACUAAGAACUGGAAGACAAUUGGGGAAGAACUUUCAAAAAUUUUAGAAGACAGGAUUCAGAUCCCACACACGCAAUCUCAUACCUAAAGCUAUUGCUAAGCACUCUGCCAAAUCAGACAACUGCAAGGAUAGAAAGGACAAUUGGGAUAACAUCGUACGCCAACAGAAUCCUAUAAUUGGGGAAUGCAGGAGUUAGGGUUGCCACCUUUUCCCACUUGGAGCUCCAGGCAGGGGAUGGCCAAUAACGUCACCAAGCGGAAUGACAAUGUUGUGGGCGGGACAGUGAUGGCCCAUGGGCGGGUCGGUGGGCACAGCUAUGACGUGACGGUUGGCAAUUGGCCAAUCAACAUGUCAAAUCAUAGGGAAUCCUGGCCGUUUUUCAAAAUUAGGAAAAAUGGGGCAGGCAAUUUUGACCCAGAUAGCCCUCCCCGAAAACCAGGCUAUCCGGAUCAAAUCCAGACAGGUGGCAAGUAAAUAUAUAAUUAUAUAAGACAUUUAUUGAACAGAUAACCUAAUUAGUGUCCGAUUUUAAAUUCCUAAAGCUGUGAUUAAGUUGAAAAGUCCAAGGUCUUAAGAGUUAUUUGUGAGCUGCACAAAAAAUAAAAGAUAGCUAUCAUUAAUUUUGAAGUGCUUGUUUUACUCCAUGGUAUGAAUAGUAUUUUGCAUUUGCUUUAACCCUCUUUUUUGGCACUUGUACAAAGUAAAGUUGUUCAUCUUCUGCAAUUACAUUAGAAUAAUACGAAAAAGUUCCAUGUCUCCAAAAUGUGGAGUUCACUUUUAAAUUAACUUUUAGUUGUGUUUUAAUUUUUAUACGGAAUGCUAUUUAAAAAAAAAAAAUCAGUUUUUGAAAUUUUAGCUUAAAAUACUGUUUAUUUGAUGGGUUCCACUCCUUCAUUCUGACUAGCAAAUUACUACCUGGGGUAAUUAAACCCUAGCUGCCAGAAUCAUAAACAAUUAAAGAAGAAAAAAAAGAAAGGUGUCCUGAUAUAAUACUUUUCCUUUUUACUUUUUAACUACGACUUUAAGCAUUGUAUACUUAAAUUUGUUGAUUGUAAUUUUCAAAUAAAACUACAUUUAUAAUGUG